GACGAACCGUCCAAACGUUAUUCGGAAUUACUGGGCUUAAAGGGUGCGUAGGCGGCUCUGCAAGUUGGGUGUGAAAUCCCUCGGCUCAACCGAGGAAUGGCGCCCAAAACUGUGGAGCUCGAGGGAGACAGAGGUGAGUGGAACUUGUGGUGGAGCGGUGAAAUGCGUUGAUAUCACAAGGAACACCGGUGGCGAAAGCGGCUCACUGGGUCUCUUCUGACGCUGAGGCACGAAAGCUGGGGGAGCGAACGGGAUUAGAUACCCUGGUAGUCCCU
rnacentral:rRNA from 1 species